rnacentral:rRNA from 1 species
CAAUAGCGUAUAUUUAAGUUGUUGCAGUUAAAAAGCUCGUAGUUGGAUUUCGGGUGUGAACGACCGGUCCGUCUUUGAUGUGUACUGGUUGGUUGCGCCUUAUUGUCGAGGACGUGGUUCUAGCUUUCAUUAGCCGGGACACGGAGUCGGCAGCGUUACUUUGAGAAAAUUAGAGUGUUCAAAGCAGGCUAUCGCUCUGAAUACUACAGCAUGGAAUAACACGAUAGGACUCCGAGCCUAUUCUGUUGGUCUGUAGGACCGGAGUAAUGAUUAAGAGGGACAGUCGGGGGCAUUCGUAUUUCAUUGUCAGAGGUGAAAUUCUUGGAUUUAUGAAAGACGAACUACUGCGAAAGCAUUUGCCAAGGAUGUUUUCAUUAA